CCUACGGAGGCAGCAGUGGGGAAUAUUGGACAAUGGGGGGAACCCUGAUCCAGCCAUGCCGCGUGUGUGAAGAAGGCCCUCGGGUUGUAAAGCACUUUCAGUGAGGAAGAACGCCUGGUGGUUAAUACCCAUCAGGAAAGACAUCACUCACAGAAGAAGCACCGGCUAACUCCGUGCCAGCAGCCGCGGUAAUACGGAGGGUGCGAGCGUUAAUCGGAAUUACUGGGCGUAAAGCGCGCGUAGGUGGCUUGAUAAGCCGGUUGUGAAAGCCCCGGGCUCAACCUGGGAACGGCAUCCGGAACUGUCAAGCUAGAGUGCAGGAGAGGAAGGUAGAAUUCCCGGUGUAGCGGUGAAAUGCGUAGAGAUCGGGAGGAAUACCAGUGGCGAAGGCGGCCUUCUGGACUGACACUGACACUGAGGUGCGAAAGCGUGGGUAGCAAACAGGAUUAGAUACCCCUGUAGUC
rnacentral:rRNA from 1 species